ACUGUCGGCCACGGCAGAUGACCGAACCCGCAGAAAUCAAAGCCGUGGGCUGGGGAGACGACAGCACGGAGGAACGCCUUGCGUCCAAGAGGGCAGGUGACUCGGCUGCGUUAGGAACCGGAUCUCCUCCAGCCCAAGACCGGCAUGAAUCCCUUCCAGGGGAGGUGCGCCCAUGGCCUAAUACCCGCCCUCUAAGCGUCACCUCUUGGAGCUGCCACUGCACCGCUCACGGGGGACAAGCACAUCCAGCCUUCACAGAGUCCACCAGCCCUUCACACCGGAGCGCCCCUCAUAGCCUGUCUGUGGCCUGCCCUGCACCCCCUCACCUCCCACCACCAACAGCUUGCAGCGCUUUGACCCUUACCCUCCCGUUCCUCAGAUGAAAUCUCCCACUUGACAUUAGCCUGAGCUACUGUGCAUGGAAAGCAGAAAUACCCCUGUCUUCUUCUGUAUGAACACCCGCCCGCUACCUCUUCCGCAGCGCUGGGGCUCGAACCCAGGGCAUUCACACUGAGCUCUGUCCCCGCCCCCUUUUAUUCUGAGAUGUCAUCUCCCUGACUAGGUCAUGAAGUUCCCAGACUGGGUUGAACUUGUGGUCCUCAACCCCUUAUUUUGUUUCUUUACCAAAAAUUAGAAGUUCAACAAUCAUUCUAACAGUUUGCGUUUUCCACCCGACAGAAAGGAAACGUGGCCUAGGACGUUUGGGACAGCGGGCUCUUGGCUCCCACCGCCGCAUCCCAGUCCCACAUGGACAGCGCGCCAUGCGCCUGCUCACCACGCCCACCCUGACCUGCAUGAUUCCGGGUGAGCAGGGCUGGCCGAACAUUACAAACAAAAAGCAAACAAAGCACCUGCAGUGCCAUGGAUGUGCCCAGGGUAUUUCUACCACUCAAAUCCAGGGACACCGGGGACACCCGUGACCUGAAGAUGCUCGGAGAAGGUCUGCAACUGUAAAAUCCCUUUUCCCUCCAUCAGAAGGGGAUUUCAACAUUUCAGAUCUACCAGGAGCAAAGGAGGAAAAGCGAGGUUGUUCAGAAAAUAUGUGAUGCCUAAAAUUAACAAAGACCAAGAAGCACGAAGCAUGCAGAUGUGCUGAAAUAGUAACGAUCAAGCCAACUUACAGUUCGCCAGGGGACUUCUGCAGAUCAGGAAGUAUGUCUUGCCACAACUGCCAGAGAAUUGCCCAGGGGAAACAUGUUUUAAACCUGCUCUUUACAGAUAAUAAAAUUGUCACCCAUGAGAUUUCUUUUGUUUCUCUGCUGACAGUGAUGGUCUAGUAGAGGCUAUAGAAACACCAACCUUGGUGGUGGUGGUGUUAGUUGUAAGAAAAGUAUAUGCAUGACCAUGUUUAUAGCAGCACAACUCAUCAAAGGUAAAUCUUGGAAGCCGUCUGUAUGUCCACCAACAGAUAAAUGCGUAAAGUGUCACAUUGAUCCCAAUGAAAUGCUACUCUGCCAUAAAGAAAGAUAAACGUGGGUCAUUUGUAGGAAAAGGGAGACAGACACCUUGAGAUCAGAGUGUUCAGGGAAAUAAAUCAGACACACGGGCUUAAAUACUGCAUGGUUUUCCUUAUAGGAGAAACCCAAAAUAAAUUAAUUAAAAAGUAAAAUAAAAGGCAGAUAAAAGGAAACAAGGAGAUAGAUUUUUUGUAAAAGGUAAGGGGGACAAGAGGUGGGGCAGGCUGGAAAGGAAGGGACAUAAAAAGAAUUAAGUUGUGUCAUGUACGUGUACCAACUGCCCACAACGAACGUCAACUUCAUGUCUUGCAAACUUACACUAAUAAAAAAAUUAAAACAGGGGCUGGGGAUCUAGCUCAGCAGAACAAGUGCCUGCCUGGCAAGUGCAAGAUCCCAAGUUUGAUUCCCAGCACCAAAAAAAAAUAAUAAUAAUAAUAAUGAUAAUAAUAAUAAUAAUAAAAACUGAAAAAAAGUAAUCAAAAA
ensembl:lincRNA